CCAUGAGUUUGCGGUAGCUCCGGGCGCUACUGUAGCUGCUAUGUCUACUUGUUUGUCUGCUCCCAUUACUGCGGGUGAUGCUGCCUCAGGAGGAAAAGUGAAAUCCAGGCUGGAGACGCAGGGAGGAACUUGUGAGGUGAUCGCUGCUCACAGGUGCUGCAACAAGAACCGUAUCGAGGAGCGUUCGCAGACGGUCAAAUGCUCCUGUUUGCCCGGGAAAGUGGCCGGGACGACACGCAACAAACCCUCCUGCGUGGACGCGUCCAUUGUAAUUGGGAAGUGGUGGUGUGAGAUGGAACCAUGUCUGGAGGGAGAAGAGUGCAAGACUCUGCCUGACAACUCUGGAUGGAUGUGCUCGUCUGGGAACAAGAUCAAGACCACAAGGAACACCCAGCCAUACUCCCCUUUUUAGCUUCUGGAAGCAAAAUGCAGAGGAUGCGUCAACAGAAAUUGAGCUGCAUUCUUGCUUCUGUAAAGAGGGGGAGUCCUUCACUGCCUGUUCUGUGUCAGCAGACAGGACAGACGCUUUUGUUUGUGGAGGUCACAGUGAGAGCAAUGCUGGGGAGCAACCUCCAAAAAAAGUCUCGCCCGCCAUAUAUCUACAUUACGGGUUUUGCUGGCCAAAUAGUCCAAUCUGUUUUUGCUUCAAAAUAAAACCAUAGGAACAAGCAGCUGGAGUUUAGAAAAAAGAAAAUGUUCCAUCUCCCUUAUUUAAGGCUAUAAGAAACGACGGUUGUUUGAUCACCUCACUGUCUGUACAAGAGUGGAGAUAAACAUUUUGUCUGAAUAAAGAGAAGAAUGUAAUGUCACCCUCAUCAGGCAUCCUGUCAAUUUUAAUAUCAUUUUUGAAAUAUUCUCACUGCCCGCGUAAACUCUGCGUUAGUUUCAGCUGUUAAAGAAAACAGAAAUGCCAACCUUGAUAAAUGGUUCCGCUAAAGUAGGUCGAUAUGAAAUUCACAUGUAAAAAACACCACAGCUUUUACAAACACUUCAUUAAAAAUAACCAAUAACAAGAUACAGCAAAGCAUGUAUGACUCCUGCAGCUGCAGGAAAAUAUAUUAAUAUUAAAUUGUACCUGUUUUAUUGAUAGAAUUACACUGAUUUACACCUACUGAAUUAGGAAUAUUAGCCCUUUUAGAUGUUUUGUUCUUUGUAGAAUAAAAGAGUUUUCCGUUUCAGCUCUGUUCAGGCCUGUCGCUUGCAAUAGUUCUGGUUAGACGACAUGAUUUGUGCUCAGGUUCUGACCAGCAUUUUUAGCUCUCAGUUCUCCAAGCAAGUCACAGGAGCGCUUGACAUUCAGGGAUUCUGCAAAUGUUUUACUCGUGAGGGUUAAGUAAUAAUACAGAGAUAAUGUUUCUGUCAGACGUUCCAAGCACAUCGUCUCUCUCACAACUCAACCUCCUUAAAUCAGUCCGCGGUGUGGUUUCAAGCACGAUGCUUGAUGUUUGGCCCUGAAAAACCACUUCAAGCUAAUGCUGCACUUUUAAUAUUUUACAGGGAAUAAAAAUGCUCAAACUUUUUCUCCCUUGGAGAAAAUAUGAUGCUUCUAAAAUAGUAAAAGAGGUGAUUUUCUUCUUUGACAAACUUUAUGCUCACAAACAACAGCUUGUCAUUGCUUCUGUUUUCUGGCUGACUUAGUUUGAGCUUUGGGUUGUUCUUCCUUUUAUUUAAUUUUUUUUUGUCAGUCGUUUUAAUAUUCCACAACAAAAUGUCGUCAUAAAAACUUAUACUAUAUUUAGGUCACUUUAACACAUGAUUAUGUAUGUGCUUUAGUAAAAGUGAUGGGUAGCGCCGCUUUAGCAUCGACAUCAUGACCAUCACUGUUUUUUUUACAAGCAGAAAUAUUUGUCUGGGAGGAGGAGAGCAGAGGUAUUCUAUUAUCCAGUGACUCUGAUACGUCCUCCAGCUUCUCAUUCAAAUCACAUUAAACCACAGAAAUGUUUAUAUCCUACCAGAAAAUUUCUUAACGUUUGAAAGAGUCACUUGCUUCGGCUUGAUUCUGGCAACUGAAUCUGUGCCUAUUACGAAGCAUAAAACCUAAAUAGACUAGCCUUAUUUCAUCACCACUUUUUUUACUCCACAGCUGUUAUGUGAGCCACAUUGUUUGUUAAAAGGAGCAGACAGCUCUUAUUCAAAUAAAUAACCCAUCUGCGAGGACAGUCUGAGAGCAACGGACCUGCGGAUUCGUCAGACAUCUUUGUUCUCACAUGUUGCUGUAGCACUUUGUACAACCGUGACAUAAUUAGUUGAGGUGAAGCAGGAAUGAUGCGCUCCAGCACCGCUUGAUCCCGUUGCUUCUUCUUGAACAGCAUCAACACUAAAGACAGGAAAUGAUACAGUGUGCCAUCAUAAAUUAUAUGUUUAGCAUAAAAGGCAUGAGUUUUCUCAACAGCACGAGUCUGUACAAAGAUUGAUCCUUUCUCCUCCGGCAUAUUUAUAGAUGUUUUGAGCGAAGUAGUUCACUCUAAGUGGCCCCUAAUUAAAUUAUAUAUAUUUCUUUUCCCAUUGUCACUGUUGCAUUAAAUAAAUCUUGACGCAUUUUUGGUGUCUGGUGUCUUCUGUUUUUAUGAGGGAGUGGUGUUUAGUGGAGCCGCGGGAAGCCAGUUCUCCACAGGCGCAGCUGACUUGUUGAGCACUAAAUAAGGAAGGAGAAGAGAGUCGACUAUGUUUGCGCCGAAGUCUUCCACUGAGGCAAUUGUCCUUGGACCGCACCAACUGUAGUCGGAGUAAAUUACAGUUUAAUGCAGUAAACAAAUUAGAAUGCAGACAUCUAAUUUGCCGGCAACGACGAGCAGACAAGCAGGAAAUCCUUGAGCGAUCUACGGCUACCUGCCGGACUGUUCGUUUCAAGGGGACUGAAACGAGCGGAGGACACGGUUAGUCUCUCUUAUACGUCCGUGUGGGUUGAUAUUUCCAUACCGCAUCUCCUUUUCCUGCUAACAAACCACGAGGGGAUCUGGGUUUUGAGACGGACCGUGAUCCUUGAUACGCAACCUGCUUCCUCUGCUGGUCUUGCGAGGUAAUUUUGAUAUGGCUGCCAGACAGCUGAGAUGAUACAGAUGCAAAUAUGGGACAGAUGAGCCGAAAGGCUUACUGUGCCGGAGAAACAUGGGAGAAAACAGGAUUUAUUUAUUUAUUUCAAGGGUACACUUUGUUGAGAUCUGGAGCAAAAUGUUUUAAUCUAAAACAACUUUUUAAAGUAUCUAUAGAACAUCAUUAGCGAAUGAUAAAUAGAUGAGCACUGUUCUCAACUUAACUUUGGUUUGCAGGCGAUUUAUAUAUCUGCGCUAACAUGUAUUUCUGCCUUUUUGGCACUUUAUGAUAGAUUCCCACCCAAAGAAAUCACUUUACUUUCUUUCUGGAUGAAAAUCCUUAAAAAAUCAAAUCAUUUGUUUGCUGCAUCAUACAUAUUAGGCGUAUCUAAUGACAUUAAAUACAUAUUUUGUUCCCCAAACCCUUUGAUUGAAGCGUUAUCUUCUUCUACUGUUAGCAGAUCAAACAGGCAGCAUCUAUAUCAUCUCUGAAUGUCCAGGUUGCCUGAGUCUUGGCUGGGCAGCAAUAUCUGUCCACCAGCCAGGCUAUCUCCACACCAACCAUUGCUAUACUGGCCAAUGGUUGGCUUUAGUCACACUACUUCCAUUAAGACUUUGGGUUUCAGCCCAGAGAUGCCCCACAAAUCCAGGACAUACAAGUAUAGACAAUGCAGCGAGCAAACUGUCUAAUUACAAGCAUAGAAGAUGCCAGUGUGUCAGCUUGCCAUAGAGCCAGUCAAAAACAAAACGACAGCAGCAUCUUCGUUGUAGUUUUACAUGCUUGCAGCUGUGAAUAUUCUAUCCGGUGUAACACAAAUCAUUCCGUAAAUCAUGUCUAGCUCGCUUCACAGUAUGCAUUUAACUUAUACAUUUUUUUUUCACUGCAUUAUCUUGAAGAAGCAGAAGAACUUGUAAAAUCUGCCUUUAAUUGUGUUCAAUUGCUCAAAUGAUCUCCAAGACACUAAAUGGGACGAAAGGGAGGCAAGAAACUGCAGAACUCUAGUAGACGCAGACAUACUGCACAUUGUUUUUAUCGAGCUUCGUGUCGAGCAGGAUGCUGAAAAGCAGAACGUUCAAUAGCAGUCUCAAGGCUGCACAAAGCACCAUUGAGACGAGUUCAUGUCUGCAGCUGAUGAUGAAUUAAACGUCCCUGAACCAAAGUCAUGGAGAGACGGCUCAGACUCGGCAGCGUGGGCUUCGAUUUAGCAAGGCCAGAGUCAUUUUUAUCAGAUUAGAGGAAAAUCCGUAGUUUGCCUGUCUGCUCAGAGGCGCUAAUAGAGACGGUUGCAGGGCCGUACGGGGAGUCUACAUAUUGAGAGACACAGUCAGUCAUUUAACAAGGGUAAUUACAUAAGCCAGACAUACACAGCAUGGAAACACACCGCGGUGUGUUUAUUAGAGUCAUUCUUCUUAGUGUUAAACAGCUCACACGAGCUUUUUAGCAGAAGGCCAAACCUGGAGAUGAGACGAAGGUUUACGGAGCUCUGGAGUCUGAAAAAUCUCCUGGUCAAUUCGCCCCUUUGCCAGAACACACUCCAUCUCUGACCCAUCCGCUGCCAUCUCGUUCAAACCUACUUCCAUUUUGCAUCCAUGCGUUUAAUCAUUUAAUCAUUUCUUAGUAUUUGUAUUGAUUGUGGAGAUGAAAAGUCAUUAAAUGCUUACUUGUAAUCUAAUUUAGUUGUAUGCUAUUUGCUGGAAACUUUACAUCAAAUUAGGUUGCCAUGGGUUACUGCUCUGAUCCCUGUUUAAGCCAUUUGACUUGAGUUUGAAUUCAUCUUAUGCAACUCUAAAUGACCUCCUACUUGUGGAUAUUAACUAUUUGUCAUCCUCCAGGCUCCAGGCAUAACAUUAUGACCUAGUAUCAAACCAUUAUUUCCACAUCCUUGUGGCUUUCUGAAAGAGACCACAGACAUCAGGAAUGGUAUGAGAGUCGUACGCAACAAACUGUGGUACAAAAUGUAAUAUUUCAUUGAGAACCUGCAUUAACUUUGGCUACAGGUACCCCCCAUGGCCGUGACACUGGUUUGGCCUCUUUCUUUCUGGGACCAGUAAACUGGAAGCCAACCACAUGAGAUUCUUUGACAAAGCUGCUGCUGGCCACCUGAAUCAUGCUCGUCAGGCUCUCGACGCCAUUUUUUGCAUUUCUUUAGAUAGAAAACUUUUUAAAACAAUUUGAAUAUUGGACUUGAACCUAGUGAGCGGUUUGAUCAGUUGGAGUGCAACGAACUUACUUUUUUGUCAGGUGCCUUUACAUGAAGUGUUGUGAAUUGGCGCUAUGUAAAUGAACUGAAUUGAACUGAACCUGGCUCUUGUCAAACUCACUGGAAUCCUUAAACUCACCGACCUUUUCUGUUUUUAACACAUUAACUUGCCGCCUAAUGUCUCCAACAUGAUGCAUGAUGAAGGGACGAUCGGGGUUAUUCAUGUCACAGUGGUCAUAAAGUUAUGCCUUGGUGGAGUUGGAUAAUUCCUGAGAAUUGUUGAUUGUCACAGCAGAUACGAAACAUCCUCUUGAUGAAUAUGAAUGGACCAAUGAUUGGUAGGAGAUAUUCUGCAGCACUAUUUAAUUCCCAGAAAAUUAUAGGACUAAAAGUACGAAAUGGCAAAGGGACGAAGUAACCAGCACCACUUCAAAAGAGUCCUCUUGUUUUAGAAAUACAGCAAUUUUUGGGGGGAGGUCUAACUUUUGCUCUCUCUAAGCAUCUGUUUCUUCUCUCUCCUCCUCCUUUUCCACCCCUGUG